AUGGUGGGGACUCAUAGGAGACUGCCGGGGUCAACUCGGAGGAAGGUGGGGAUGACGUCAAAUCAUCAUGCCCCUUAUGUCUUGGGCUUCACGCAUGCUACAAUGGCCGGUACAAAGGGCUGCGAUACCGCGAGGUGGAGCGAAUCCCAGAAAGCCGGUCUCAGUUCGGAUUGGGGUCUGCAACUCGACCCCAUGAAGUCGGAGUCGCUAGUAAUCGCAGAUCAGCAAUGCUGCGGUGAAUACGUUCUCGGGCCUUGUACACACCGCCCGUCAAGUCAUGAAAGUCGGUAACACCCGAAGCCAGUGGCCCAACCUCUUGUAGGGGGGAGCUGUCGAAGGUGGGAUUGGCGAUUAGGACUAAGUCGUAACAAGGUAGCCGUACCGGAAGGUGC
rnacentral:rRNA from 1 species